UUCCUGUUACCGCUACUUAAAUCAGCCGUGAAAUUAUUCUCCCUAUGAAUAUUGAAUCAGUCAGUGUUGAUCUCAAAAGUGCAAAGUAAUCUUUACAUUUAAAACGCCUCGUUUCUUGAACGACAGUGUAGAGAAAAGAAAUUUCAAGAAAUUUAGUGAAAAAAAUAUAGCGUACUUUUUUUCAUGUCUAUGCUGUUACCACCAAUUUUGAUUAAAUACACCAACAGUAUACUUGUAAAAAGUGCAAUAACGUGUUGGAAACCAAAUUCACAAUAGAAAAACGUAAUCACUUCACCAAAGGGAGUAGUUAUUUCACAACAGGAAUCAAAAACGAAGAAAUUUGUCUAUCCUGUUAUGUCUAUCCUGUUACUAUGGUUGCUAUGGUUACAGUAACAGGAUAGACAAUUGUAGACAAAAACGUCGUUAAUUUUUUUAUCUUAACAUAUAGGUGCAAAACGAAUGAAAUAUUUCGUUGUUUGAAGUCAUCUUAAGGUUAUAACGUAUUAAUCUUCCCAAUUAAGCAUUCGCAGGUGCAAUACUGAUAUCGGUAACAGGAUAGACAAAAAGGUAACAGGAUAGACUUUUAUAUAGUAAUAUAUCAGAAACGUACGUUCCUGUUACCAAUGAAAUAUAGAGAAAAGUAAACUAACUUAUGAGGGAUUUACUUGAUGUUGGGUUCAUUUGAAAGGGUGAACAAAUGCCGAACAUUAUAUAUUGCUAUCUCAGACUUGCAUUACUGGUGGUAAUUUUUACAACCUUUGAAAACCAAUUUUUAGAGGCAUUUUUCCGUACAACCUUUUAAAUUGGCAAAUAAUCUAUUAUAUUACAGAAUGAAUAUAUAUAGAAGUUUAUUCUCUUGAAAACCAUCUAAUUGUCUACGUAAAACAAGC
rnacentral:lncRNA from 1 species